rnacentral:tRNA from 1 species
UCCCUGGUGGCUCAGAUGGUAAAGAAUCUGCCUGCAAUGCAGAAGACCCAGGUUCGAUCCCUGGGUUGAGAA